CCUCAAACACAGCACCAUCACACACAGCACUAUCCCACACAUCACUCUCAAGCACCUCACACACAUCACCCUCACACACAUCACACACAGCACCCUCACACACAGCACCCUCACAAAUCACACUCAUACACAGCACCCUCACACACAAAUCACACACAGCACCCUCACAAAUCACACACAUCACCCUCACACACAUCACCUUCACACACAGCACC